ACUUCCGGAGCCGGAACGAAAAGUUUUUGCAGAUUUGUGCGAGAGAUCGCGGAAAGAAGAGAGACUUUUGGCUUGUGGUUGUGAUGUUGUGUUUGCAUUUUUGAUCUGACAUUUUCAGAUCUGAUUUUUCUUCCUGUAGAUUUAUCCUGUCUGUCCAUAGUGAUUUAAUACAGCACCGCAAAUUGCGGUGCUUUUUUUU
rnacentral:other from 3 species